UCCCUCUCAAGUAGGUAGAGCAUGAGAUGCUUAAUCUCAGGGUUGUGGGUUCGAGCCCCAUGUUGGGCA